GAGUUUGAUCCUGGCUCAGAUUGAACGCUGGCGGCAGGCUUAACACAUGCAAGUCGAGCGGGGAGGUUGCUUCGGUAACUGACCUAGCGGCGGACGGGUGAGUAAUACUUAGGAAUCUGCCUAUUAAUGGGGACAACAUCUCGAAAGGGAUGCUAAUACCGCAUACGCCCUACGGGGAAAGCAGGGGAUCACUUGUGACCUUGCGUUAAUAGAUGAGCCUAAGUCGGAUUAGCUAGUUGGUGGGGUAAAGGCCUACAAGGCGACGAUCUGUUAGCGGGUCUGAGAGGAUGAUCCGCCACACUGGGACUGAGACACGGCCCAGACUCCUACGGGAGGCAGCAGUGGGGAAUAUUGGACAAUGGGGGGAACCCUGAUCCAGCCAUGCCGCGUGUGUGAAGAAGGCCUUAUGGUUGUAAAAGCACUUUAAGCGAGGAGGAGGCUCUUCUAGUUAAAUACCUACGGAUGAGUGACGUUACUCGCAGAAAUAAGCACCGGCUAACUCUGUGCCAGCAGCCGCAA
rnacentral:rRNA from 1 species